rnacentral:ribozyme from 1 species
ACCCCCUGUCCAGGCCAUAGCAGAAGCACUCACAGUGUGGCCCUGUCAGAUUCCAAUGGAUCUGCAAAUUCUUCU